UCCUUUUCUUUUCAAACAUUAUUUAUAACAUUUAAACUGUUAUAAAUUUCAACGGCGUUGGAUGGCAUACAAGAGAUGUUUGGAUGAAUUUUGGCUUUUGUUGUUAAUUAAUUACCGCAACAGUCUAUGCAUUGCAAAGUUCUUGCCUAAAAUUACAAACCUUGUUUCGCUGUUCCAUUGGAAAAACGAGAGAAGAUUAAGACAACUCGUUUAUCGCCGAGACGGGUGAAUAAUGUAUUACUAUCCUCGCAAGCAUCCAAUCAGGUCAAAACCGGUUUCCUAAACCAGCGAGCCGAUGAGACACUGAUGAGAAUCAAGCUAUAAAGUUGCAUUUAUCUACUGCCUAGGAAAAUUGACCGUGGAUCAUGGAUUGAGGAGCAGACGGACAUCCAACUAGGAAAUGGCUAUGAAGAGAUGAUGACAAAACAUAUAGGUGUACUCAAAAAAGGAAUUCAAGAUGGCGGCUGGGUGUUGGUAGUUUUUUGGAUUUAUCCGCGUUUUGGCUAUAUUUUGGUGGCAAAAGGAAACUUUAUAAAAGAAAGAAACAGACAGAUUGAUGCAAUUACUGGCUCCAAAUCAAUAUUACCAUCCAACGAUACAUUGGAAACAUUUAAGACCUCGUGGUAGUGCUGAUGGCUUUCCAAAAGAACAAAAGUUUUAACACUUUUGACAUAAAAGAUUAUUUUUACUGGCAGACUGAGUAAGUAAAUAAGAGUUAUAAGAA